GGCCGGCUGGCCUAAUGGUUAAGGCGUCAGUUUCCGGUUUGGGGUCAGCUGAAGAUUCGGGGUUCGAAUCCCCGGUUGGUCG
rfam:Fibroporia radiculosa TFFH 294 genomic supercontigs, scaffold1086